CGUGGGUAACCUGCCCAAGAGAUCGGGAUAACACCUGGAAACAGAUGCUAAUACCGGAUAACAACAGAUGAUGCCUAUCAACUUGUUUAAAAAGAUGGUUCUGCUAUCACUCUUGGAUGGACCUGCGGUGCAUUAGCUAGUUGGUAGGGUAACGGCCUACCAAGGCGAUGAUGCAUAGCCGAGUUGAGAGACUGAUCGGCCACAUUGGGACUUAGACACGGCCCAAACUCCUACGGGAGGCAGCAGGG
rnacentral:rRNA from 1 species